UCCCUGGAGGACUCAGCAACAGAGUGCUGUGCUCACUGCGUGGGCAGUGUUGAGGAAAACAUUUGUAAUGUAUUUAUUUGUUGAAUGUAGUGAAUAUGUGAGUCACUGUUAUAUUUCUAUAUAACAGUGUAGAAGUGUUACUUCGCUGAAAGAAUAUUAGCAUGCGUUGUCCCUUUCUCUCUCCUGCCUUGUUUCUAUCUCUGUACCCGAUGUGACUAACACCUCUCAGAGAUUGACCACUGCGCUCUUGGCGACCAUGGGUGUGAACACUGAAGAUUAAUUUUUCUGUUUUUCUGUAUCUCAGUCUCACCUAAUACGCAGAAAUAUCAUUUGUAUUCAACAUUUUACUUAGAUUUCAACAUACUAGCAAGUCUUGCUUAUUGACCUCAACAACUGGGUCUGAUCACUUUUUCUCACGGCAGAGCUUGAUCCAUGUUCCCUUGGUAACCAUGGGUGUGAGCAUGACUGUGUGAACACUGAAGAUUCAUUUGUGUGUAGAUAUCGAGAAGGCUACAAACUCAGACCUGAUAACAGAACCUGCCAGAGUAAGUCCAUGGCCUGCUUCCAUGUCUUCCUAUCAGCUGUGUGGUAACAGAUCUUUUGGACAUUGCACAGUAAUAAGAGGAUCUUCUCUAUGCAUCAUGCUGUUUUGGCACAAUGGAUUCACAUCCAUUUGAAUUGAAAUGUUAGAAUGAAUGUUACGCAUUAAUGCUUAUGUGACUGAGGGAAGUUGGACUGCCUUCAAAUAUACACCUAACUUCCUCUUUUAUAAUGGGUCUGACUGUGACUGAGUGUUUUUCCAUCCUGGUAUUUAUAUGUUACAUAAGUUGUGAGUUGUGAUUAUGAGGUCAUGGUUAAUCCUGAUACUCCCUCUAGUCCAGGGUGUUCUUUUCCUGGAUUAAGAGGAAUAUUCCAUACCGUUUGACAGUGACAGGCACAUGUCAUGAAGGAAGUAAGAGUAGUCCUCGAUAGGUAGAUGGAUAUUUAUGCACAUUAUUACCCAAGGUUGCAUUAAAAUGACUAUGUAUUUGGUACCAUGAAGCCUGGAGUAGAGUAGAGAACACACAUUUCCAUUAUUAAUGAGAAUGAUCCUUAUUACUAUUUGAAUUUGACCUGCACCAGGGUUGCAACUUUCACUGGGGACGGGGGACUUGUCCCCAGCACAUUCUGAAAUUGCAUUUUGUCCCCCCCAGUUUUAUCAUUGGAAUGUGAUACAAAACGAUGCAAUGGUGUGCUUUAGGACCAUGUGGACGCUUCUAAGCGGCCAGUAGGCUGUUUGGAGUGUUUAUCCGUCUGGAUAAAAAUUAUAAUAUGUCCCCCCACUCUAAAACCAAAGUUGCGCCCCUGACCUGCACACAGAAGCAGAGUGUUCAGAUGGAGUGAUGGAUCUGGUAUUUGUAAUUGACGGUUCUAAGAGCCUGGGGCCGGCCAACUUUGACCUUGCCAAGCAGUUUGUGAACAGCAUCGUGUACUCUCUGGACGUGUCCGGGACGGGCACCCACGUAGGGUUGCUGCAGUACUCCAGUAAGGUCCGCACAGAGUUCAUCCUGGGUCAGUAUACCGGUAUCACGAUAUAUGCACUUGGUGUUGGUAAAGUCAUCGAAGAGGAGCUCAGGGAAAUUGCUUCCAAGCCAGAUGAUAAGCAUUUGUACUAUGCUGAAGAUUUUAGCAACAUGGGAGAAAUUACAGACAAAUUGAAGUCACGGAUAUGUAAAGGUACACAAUGAAUAAAACACACUCUAAAAUAACUUUCUUAUUAAAGAUCCAUCACAGCUACACAUUAUUUCUCACACUUUUCCUGCAGUGCACAAAUCGUCUCAUCUUGAAUAAAUGAUCAAAUCUAUAAUUACAAAUACUAAAACAAAAAUGCCCCUAACCCCAUCUAACGUCUUAAAACGAAUCUGAUUGUUUAUGAAGGUGGUGCUUAUAGACUUCCAUAUAAUUUUUUAUACUUAAGCAAUAAGGCCUGAAGGGGUGUGGUAUAUGGCCAAUAUACCACGGCUAAGGGCGGUUCCUAUGCACUCCGCAUUGCGUCAUGCAUAAGAACAGCCCCUAGCCGUGAUAUAUCGACCAUAUACC